AUGGAAUGGAGCUGGAUUAUCCUCUUGCUAGUGGCAACAACUACAGGUGUCCACUCCCAGGUACAGCUGCAGCAGUCUGGGGCUGAGGUGGUAAAGCCUGGAUCCUCACUGAAAUUGUCAUGCAAGGCUUCAGGCUACAACUUUGCCAGCAACUAUAUUAACUGGGUGAAACAGAGGCCUGGACAGGGCCUGGAGUGGAUUGCAAAUAUUUAUCCUGGAAAUGGUGUUACUAAUUACAAUCAGAAGUUCCAGGGCAAGGCCAAACUGACUGCAGACACAUCCUCCAGCACAGCCUACAUGGAGCUCAGCAGUCUGACAUCUGAAGACUCUGCCAUCUAUUACUGUGCAAGACACAGUGUUGCCAACCACAUCCUGAGUGUGUCAGAAACCAUGGAAGAGAAGGAAACUGGGUCUGAGUUUGUUUUCUUCUUGGCUUUUGGUCAAGGAACUGCGUAUACCUCAACCACUGACAAAGCACAAGGUCUGACCAUCUGGGAAACAAAUAAGCAGCCUCUACAAACAGAAUGGCACAUGAAUGACAAAGACUAA